rnacentral:lncRNA from 1 species
AUUGAACCAGAUUGGAAAUUCUCUGGCACAACUUUCUUUGAAUGUGAAGAACCAUGAAUGAUUGAAUGGUCUGUAUAAAAAAGCACGAUACCAUGCCAUUUUAUAAUCUUGAUAUGUGAAUCCAUCUGGAAUGAAUCUGACUGAGAAUGAUUUUUUGGAAUAAAGAGAAAUCCAUUCAUUUGGUGAACAAACUUUCUUUAUUAUACACUUAGAAUGGCUAAUUAUAUUUGGAUUCUUUUUGUCUGGAAUGGGGAAUAUUUCUACAGAUUGAGUAUCUGUAAGAAUUAGUUCGUAAUAAUCCAAAUUUUUUGAAGGAUCAUCGGGUUGCCAAUAACAUUUUUGAGGAAAGAUUCUUUGAGUAAGCUGAUUGAGUGUAGAAUAUAUUGGUAUUUCUUGGAAUCUUGUUAAAGUAAUAUGUUGGGUAAAUGGUUUUGUGAAAUAGGUAUUUUCUGUGGAUUUUUCUGGGGAUUUUGGUAUUUGUUGGAUAGGUCUAAUUUGAGAGGAAAUUGGAGUACAAGCAGCUUGACUGU